CUUUGCAAAAAAAAGUGUAAAUUAGAAAUAUUAAUUUAAUAUUUUAUUAGUUUAACCUGAAAAAUUAAGAAAAAAUUAAGAAAUUCAUUUCAAUGAAAGAAAAUGACUACCAUUGAAGACCAUUGAAGACAUCACUAUGCAAGGCUAUACAGAUGAAGGCUUUCCCAACAAUUACCAACUUAUAGAAGCUACUACUAGUGGGAAAGCAUUCACCUUAUUUUACAAAUUUCACGCUCUUCAAUAUUCAGCGGUGAUGAUGACUUCACAAACACUUGCCAUUAGUAUCACAAGAAAAAAAUUAUGUGCGAAUGAUGCUUCAACAAUUGCGUCGAGGCAAACAUUCACGAAGGUCAGUUCAAGAACUACACAAAAUUGUACUUUACAGUAUUAAUCGAAAAUUACGGAUUAGAUCAAGACGUGUAAAUAAUUAGUGCUAAAUAUAAGUAAUUAGGUGCGGUGUGGAAAUAUUAAAAUAAAAAUUUUUAAAUAAAAUUCAUGUGUGCAUACAUGUGCUCAUAUGUAUGUAGUGUAUAGUGCAAAAACUAUAAAACAAAAAUUAUAUAUACUUCAUUAAAAACAUUAAUUAAUAUAUAUAACUAUAUACAAAAAAUCAAAAACACAAGAAAAAACAAAAAAUCAUAAAACAAAAAAUAAACAGGUGCAUUAUAUAGUCUUGUUACUGGGUGUGUACAGACCGCAUGGUCAAAAAUGCACUCAAUAAUAGUGAAGCCAUAGCAAAAAAAAUAUAACAAAAAUCUAAACAGAACAAUGGCAACAAAUAAAAACACAAAGUUUCACAAACUAAUUGUAGAAUAGCAGAAAAAAAUAAAAAACUUACAAUAGAUAAUAUGAAUUGAAGAGCAGAAUUAAAGGACGAGAUGGAGUGCGUAGAAAACGUAGUCAACGCUAAUGAUCCUGUAGGUAAUCCGGGAAAUGAAAAUCAAAAUAAUGACACAGAUUUUAUUGCAA